CCAAAUGGAAUAUCCAUUAGAGUAUACGAAUCUAAAUUCAUCCAAUUGAAGCUAACCACAUGCAAACGCAACCUAUAAUGAUAUACUCCCAACUCCCGGGACCCAAAUUUUCGUAUCCGAUUUUCCGCCAUGGCAGCAGAAUCGCUGAUCAUCGAAGAAGUCCGGGAAAACCUGGAUCACCUUCUCAGAGAGUUUCAGUCUGCAAGAUUGGGAUUUCCUCCUUCAUCCACCUUUUAUCGUUUCUUGUGAUGAUCAGGGAGUUCCUCCUUCAUCCACCUUUUAAAGAGAAAGGUCGUUUCUUGUAGUUCACACAAGCAUGUGCUUUGUUGCGGGAUCUUUGGGGGGAGAAGAACAAUCGAGUGUUUCAAGGUGUGGAUAGGGACUCUUGUGAGGUUUGGUCCUUGGUUUCUAAUGAAGGUUUCCCCUACAACGGAGCCAACCUUGAUAAACACAGCUGGAUAGCCAACUGGAGCAUCUACUUUAAUUUCGCAGCCUGGUUUAGCAUGUACCUCCCCUGUCCAUAUAUGUUGCCAUGAAGAACUUUCAUUCAAAGGAAAGUAAGCUUUGACAUUGUUCUUUCCUUUGUCAAGGACAGGCACAACUAGGAUCUCAGAACCAACCAAAAACUGCUGGUGACCCAAUGUAAGCACAUAC